rnacentral:rRNA from 1 species
CGGGGAGCACCACAACAGGUGGAGCCUGCGGUUAAUCGACUCAACGCCGGGAAACUCACCAGAUAAGACAGCUGAAUGAUAGUCGGGCUGAAGACUCUACUUGACUAGCUGAGAGGAGGUGCAUGGCCGUCGUCAGUUCGUACUGUGAAGCAUCCUGUUAAGUCAGGCAACGAGCGAGACCCACGCCAACAGUUGCCAGCUCGUCCUCCGGGAUGGUGGGGACACUGUUGGGACCGCCUCUGCUAAAGAGGAGGAAGGAAUGGGCAACGGUAGGUCAGCAUGCCCCGAAUUAUCUGGGCUACACGCGGGCUACAAUGGGUGGGACAAUGGGUAUCGACACCGAAAGGUGAAGGCAAUCUCCUAAACCCAUCCGUAGUUCGGAUUGUGGGCUGCAACUCGCCCACAUGAAGCUGGAAUCUGUAGUAAUCGUGUCUCAAAAUGGCACGGUGAAUAUGUCCCUGCUCCUU